rnacentral:rRNA from 1 species
AACGAGCGCUGGCGGCAGGCUUAACACAUGCAAGUCGAGCGCCCCGCAAGGGGAGCGGCAGACGGGUGAGUAACGCGUGGGAACGUACCCUUUGCUACGGAAUAGCUCCGGGAAACUGGAAUUAAUACCGUAUGUGCCCUACGGGGGAAAGAUUUAUCGGCAAAGGAUCGGCCCGCGUUGGAUUAGCUAGUUGGUGGGGUAAUGGCCUACCAAGGCGACGAUCCAUAGCUGGUCUGAGAGGAUGAUCAGCCACAUUGGGACUGAGACACGGCCCAAACUCCUACGGGAGGCAGCAGUGGGGAAUAUUGGACAAUGGGCGCAAGCCUGAUCCAGCCAUGCCGCGUGAGUGACGAAGGCCUUAGGGUUGUAAAGCUCUUUCACCGGAGAAGAUAAUGACGGUAUCCGGAGAAGAAGCCCCGGCUAACUUCGUGCCAGCAGCCGCCGUAACAC